rnacentral:siRNA from 1 species
AGGCGAAGUACAUAUUAUCUGACA